UACGUAGGGACCAAGCGUUGUUCGGAUUUACUGGGCGUAAAGGGCGCGUAGGCGGCAUGACAAGUCACUUGUGAAAUCUCUGGGCUUAACCCAGAACGGCCAAGUGAUACUGUCGUGCUAGAGUGCAGAAGGGGCAAUCGGAAUUCUUGGUGUAGCGGUGAAAUGCGUAGAUAUCGGGAGGAACACCGGUGGCGAAGGCGGUUCUCUGGGCCUUACCUGACGCUGAGGAGCGAAAGCGUGGGGAGCGAACAGG
rnacentral:rRNA from 1 species